rnacentral:rRNA from 1 species
UGGGGAAUUUUGCGCAAUGGACGAAAGUCUGACGCAGCAACGCCGCGUGGGUGAUGAAGGUCUUCGGAUUGUAAAACCCUGUCGCCAGGGACGAAGGGGAUGAGGUUAAUAGCCUUGUUCUUUGACGGUACCUGGAAAGGAAGCCCCGGCUAACUCUGUGCCAGCAGCCGCGGUAAUACAGAGGGGGCAAGCGUUAUUCGGAAUUAUUGGGCGUAAAGGGCGCGUAGGCGGUUUUUUAAGUCGGAUGUGCAAUCCCUGGGCUCAACCCAGGAACUGCAUCCGAGACUGGAAGGCUAGAGUACUGGAGAGGGUGGUGGAAUUCCUCGUGUAGCGGUGAAAUGCGUAGAGAUGAGGAGGAACACCAGUGGCGAAGGCGGCCACCUGGACAGUAACUGACGCUGAGGCGCGAAAGCGUGGGUAGCAAACA